rnacentral:rRNA from 1 species
GGUAGCCGGCCUGAGAGGGCGACCGGCCACACUGGGACUGAGACACGGCCCAGACUCCUNCRKRAGGCAGCAGUGGGGAAUAUUGCGCAAUGGGCGGAAGCCUGACGCAGCGACGCCGCGUGGGGGAUGACGGCCUUCGGGUUGUAAACCUCUUUMGCCAGGGACGAAGCGCAAGUGACGGUACCUGGAUAAGAAGCACCGGCCAACUACGUGCCAGCAGCCGCGGUAACACGUAGGGUGCGAGCGUUGUCCGGAAUUAUUGGGCGUAAAGAGCUCGUAGGCGGUCUGUCGCGUCGGUCGUGAAAACUUGGGGCUUAACCCUGAGCUUGCGGUCGAUACGGGCAUGACUGGAGUUCGGCAGGGGA